AUUGAACGCUGGCGGCAGGCCUAACACAUGCAAGUCGAGCGGAAACGACUUAACUGAACCUUUGGGGAACGUUAAGGGCGUCGAGCGGCGGACGGGUGAGUAAUGCCUGGGAAUAUGCCUUAGUGUGGGGGAUAACUAUUGGAAACGAUAGCUAAUACCGCAUAAUGUCUUCGGACCAAAGAGGGGGACCUUCGGGCCUCUCGCGUCAGGAUAUGCCUAGGUGGGAUUAGCUAGUUGGUGAGGUAAGGGCUCACCAAGGCGACGAUCCCUAGCUGGUCUGAGAGGAUGAUCAGCCACACUGGAACUGAGACACGGUCCAGACUCCUACGGGAGGCAGCAGUGGGGAAUAUUGCACAAUGGGCGCAAGCCUGAUGCAGCCAUGCCGCGUGUGUGAAGAAGGCCUUCGGGUUGUAAAGCACUUUCAGUAGGGAGGAAGGUUCAUGCGUUAAUAGCGUAUGGAUUUGACGUUACCUACAGAAGAAGCACCGGCUAACUCCGUGCCAGCAGCCGCGGUAAUACGGAGGGUGCGAGCGUUAAUCGGAAUUACUGGGCGUAAAGCGCAUGCAGGUGGUUUGUUAAGUCAGAUGUGAAAGCCCGGGGCUCAACCUCGGAAUUGCAUUUGAAACUGGCAGACUAGAGUACUGUAGAGGGGGGUAGAAUUUCAGGUGUAGCGGUGAAAUGCGUAGAGAUCUGAAGGAAUACCGGUGGCGAAGGCGGCCCCCUGGACAGAUACUGACACUCAGAUGCGAAAGGG
rnacentral:rRNA from 1 species